rnacentral:rRNA from 1 species
UACGUAGGGGGCAAGCGUUGUCCGGAUUUAUUGGGCGUAAAGAGCGUGUAGGCGGUUUGGUAGGUCCGUUGUGAAAACUCGAGGCUCAACCUCGAGACGCCGAUGGAAACCAUCAGACUAGAGUCCGGAAGAGGAGAGUGGAAUUCCUGGUGUAGCGGUGAAAUGCGCAGAUAUCAGGAAGAACACCCGUGGCGAAGGCGGCUCUCUAGUACGUUACUGACGCUGAGAUGCGAAAGCGUGGGGAGCGAACAGG